UACGUAGGAUGCAAGCGUUGUCCGGAUUUACUGGGCGUAAAGCGCGCGCAGGCGGCACUCUAAGUACGCUGUGAAAUAUCCCGGCUCAACCGGGAGGGUGCAGUGUAGACUAGGGAGCUAGAGUGCAGUAGGGGAGACUGGAAUUCCUGGUGUAGCGGUGAAAUGCGCAGAUAUCAGGAGGAACACCGAUGGCGAAGGCAGGUCUCUGGGCUGUAACUGACGCUGAGGAGCGAAAGCGUGGGGAGCGAACAGG
rnacentral:rRNA from 1 species